GACGAACGCUGGCCGCGUGCUUAACACAUGCAAGUCGAACGGAAAGGCCCUGCUUUUGUGGUGUUCUCGAGUGGCGAACGGGUGAGUAACACGUGAGUAACCUGCCCUUUACUUUGGUAUAACUUCAGGAAACUGUGGCUAAUACCGGAUAGGAUCUCCUGCUGCAUGGUGGUGGUUGGAAAGUUUCGGCGGUUGGGGAUGGACUCGCGGCUUAUCAGCUUGUUGGUGGGGUAGUGGCUUACCAAGGCUUUGACGGGUAGCCGGCCUGAGAGGGUGACCGGCAACAUGGGGACGGAGAGACGGAGCAGACUACAACGGGAGGCAGCAGUGGGGAAUAUUGAACAAGGGGAGGAAGCAUGAUGCAGAAACGCGGGGGGCGGGAUGACGGCCUUCGGGUAGAAAACAGAUUUCGAAGGUGAAGAAGAGGGAGUGACGGUAAUGGGUAAAGAAGCACCGGCUAACUACGUG
rnacentral:rRNA from 1 species